ACCCCGCGCGCGGGGAGCGAGGAGGGGUAUGCGCGCCCAGCCCUCCCACGCACGCUCCGGUGAGCCGGCCGCCGCACGGACGGCCAGAUGGACGGCUAAGGAGCUCCCGUACCCGGACACUCGCAGCAGCGCCGAACAAAGGGCCAAACAUGCUCCGAGCCCGCUCCGUCCCCGCCUCGCGCUCCGGAGCCCGGGUUACCUGCUCAGAGCCAGCUGUGAUCUAAAGAAGCUUGACUCCCCUGCAGGAGAGAAAGGCCACCUGAAGAGAUCAAGCCCCUGAAGGAUGGGAGACUUGAAGGGGGAGAGAGGAGUGCAGCUCUCUCCCAGCCACCCCAGCUGAGUAGCCGUGUGAAGCCAUCUUCUAUCCUUAGCGCCAGUUGAGCUGGCUGGCAGAGACCAGCUGCACCUGCCAAGCCCCGCCCAAGAUGCAGAAUGAGAGAAAGAGAAGUAGCAGAGGGAGCAGGC